UACGUAGGGUGCAGGCGUUAAUCGGAAUUACUGGGCGUAAAGCGUGCGCAGGCGGCUCCUUAAGUCAGAUGUGAAAUCCCCGGGCUCAACCUGGGAACUGCAUUUGUGACUGCAUCGCUGGAGUGCGGCAGAGGGGGAUGGAAUUCCGCGUGUAGCAGUGAAAUGCGUAGAUAUGCGGAGGAACACCGAUGGCGAAGGCAAUCCCCUGGGCCUGCACUGGCGCUCAUGCACGAAAGCGUGGGGAGCAAACAGG
rnacentral:rRNA from 1 species